UACGGAGGGUGCGAGCGUUGUCCGGAAUCAUUGGGCGUAAAGGGCGCGUAGGUGGCGGCGUAAGCGUGCGGUGAAAGCUCGGGGCUCAACCCCGAGUCGGCCGUGCGAACUGCGUCGCUUGAGCACUGUAGAGGCAGGCGGAAUUCCGGGUGUAGCGGUGGAAUGCGUAGAGAUCCGGAAGAACACCGGUGGCGAAGGCGGCCUG
rnacentral:rRNA from 1 species